UUUCUUUUCCUACGCUGAUGAUUUGUUAUUUAAUAACCAGAAUGUUGACGAGUUAUGGUCCGAUUUACAUCCUCCUGACAAUGAUUUGUCAGAUCAGCAGAAUCUUGAGGGAUCAUUGUCGUCGUACAGCACUUCGUCGGGAAAUUAUGGUGGUGGCUCAGACAUGUAUAGCUUGAGUGAGUGUUGGUCAGUCAGUUCAGAAGCUCAAAGCCAAAGUUCCGUACAAGGUUUACUACCGGGGAUUGCUUGUUAUGGUCAAAAAAUAGCCAGGGAUGAAACUAAUCAGAAGUGAGAUCUACCGCCCGGCAAGGAGGAAUUUUGUAAAAGUAAUGGGCAAGUGUCAACCAAGAACAAUUUUCACUGAUGAGCAUCAAUCAGUUUCUGAUGCAGUAGAGCUGGAACUAAAUGAGGCACACCAUCUUCCUGGUAUGUGGUAUAUUUGCCCAAAUGUUACAAGACACAUUUCUAAAGCUUUUAAGAUACCUCAUUUAGAAGAUGAAUUCAAUAAAUGCAUCUGACAUUGUACUUUAGAUGUAGAAUUUUUUUAAGUUGCAAGCGUUAUUUGAAAAUUACAAACUUCAAAAAAAGUCAUAACUCAAUGCGUUGUAUAAUACGUGAACAAAUGGUCAACCCUUUUCAGUAAGGGUAUCUAUUUUGUUGAAAUAUGAUUGUUUUAAGGAUGUGAAAAUAUAACUAAUGUUUUUCAUAACUUGAUGAGCAGAAAUGUUACUCUAUCAAAGUUUGUUUGGCAAUAUUUGAGAGCAAUAUAGCAAUUGCGUAGAGAAAAGCUAUAUGAAGAUUUUUAUUGUAAUGAAAGUAAACAACCAAUUAUGUAAAGAAAAAAACAGUGAAUUGGAGAAACAAGUAGUGGAUGCAUAUACUAGCAAAAUCUUCAAUUGUUCCAAGAAGAGUUAUGUAGGUUCAAUCACUAGCCAUAGAAGAAAUCAUAUUGGUUGUUUUUUAAAAUCAUUUUCCCUUUGCCUUUAUUACAACGAAAAUCUUCAUAUAAAUCUUUUCUAUGCAAUUGAUCUGCUGCUCUCAGAUUUGCCAAACAAAUAUUGAUAGGGUAACAUUCUAGUUUGUCAAGUUAUGGAAAACAUUAGUUAUCUUUUCACAUCCGUGGAGCGAUCCUAUUUCAACAUAAUAGAUACCCUUAGUGAAAACAGUUGACCAUUUUUUUUGCAUCUUAUAUAAAACAUUGAGCCAUGAGUUUUCUCAAAGUUUGUGAGUCUCAAACAACGCUUGCCACCUAAAAAAAUUCCUCUAAAGUACAGUGUGAAAUGCAUUUAUUGAAUUCAUCAUCAAAAGAAGUAGUUUGAAGGCUUUAGAAAUAUGUUUUCUAGGCAUUGUUGAUGUACCACAUACCAAGAUGAUGUUGUGUCAAAGUUACAAUGACAAGACAUCUUGAUAGACAUUGUCGUUCAAAUGGCAUUGAUGGUAUGUAAGCAUAGAGGAAGGUGCCAAAUCAUCCAUGUUCUAGUCAAGAACAGAAGGUUAUUUUAGAUUUUACAUUAAAGAGAAGAGAAUCAUGUGAGCCUGGCUGAAAGAAAAUCAUGUGAUGAUGCUGAUAUCUGCUGUUGGCCACUCAAAGAAGCGAUAAAAGAUGGAAACGAUCAAGCAUCGUGGAGUAGUUCUGGAAGUCAACAUUAUGUUGGAGAAACUUCCCUAAAAUGGCCUUGAAUGCCUACAGAGAAUGUGCAGGUUAUGUCUAGUAUGCAUAAUAUUCUAUGUGCUCACUAGUUUGGGGUUGAGGCACUGUGUUUAGUAUCAAAAUUCUUUCUGUGACAUUCUUAUAAGGAAAUAAACAAGUUCUGGAAUGUCCCUUUCCAUUCAUUAGUUUGGUAUUUCUGUAAUUCUGACUCUCGCUAAUGGAUGGUGUUGUUUUCCAAAGCAAAAGAUGCCUUUGGCUAUGCAGAAAGCACUGAGAAAAUUGCCAAACAGAAGGCCAAGCUGGAUUUGUCUUCCUCAAGACUCUAGGCAUUGAAAGAUUGUAAUGGCGGUGGACAGUUUAUCGCCGACAAGAAGCAGAGGAGGUGCAGUCACUGUGGGAGUACAAAGACGCCGCAGUGGAGGAUUGGACCGUUGGGGCCGAAAACUCUCUGUAAUUUUUGUGGAGUGAGGUACCAGUCUGGCAAGCUGGUUUGAAAUUUUCCUAUGUUUUUGUUACACUGACUAUAUUAUUAUUUUGGAUCAUUUGGUAUAUUUUUCAAUUCCUGUGUAAGGAUUUUGUUUUUGUUGUUUAACAGUCUUUAACAAAUAAGAAAAAUAAGCAUAUAUUCUCUUACCAUGUAUUUUCCAGCUGGUUGCCGUGUUUGGUUGGAAUUUUACGUGUUUGAGCUCAAUUUUCUUGAAAAGCUGUAA